rnacentral:rRNA from 1 species
GACGAACGCUGGCGGCGUGCUUAACACAUGCAAGUCGAACGCUGAAGCUCAGCUUUUGUUGGGUGGAUGAGUGGCGAACGGGUGAGUAACACGUGAGUAACCUGCCCCCUUCUUUGGGAUAACGCCCGGAAACGGGUGCUAAUACUGGAUAUUCACUGGUCUUCGCAUGGGGGUUGGUGGAAAGGGUUUUUCUGGUGGGGGAUGGGCUCGCGGCCUAUCAGCUUGUUGGUGGGGUGAUGGCCUACCAAGGCUUUGACGGGUAGCCGGCCUGAGAGGGCGACCGGUCACAUUGGGACUGAGAUACGGCCCAGACUCCUACGGGAGGCAGCAGUGGGGAAUAUUGCACAAUGGGCGCAAGCCUGAUGCAGCGACGCCGCGUGAGGGAUGGAGGCCUUCGGGUUGUGAACCUCUUUCGCUCAUGGUCAAGCCGCAACAAUGGUUGUGGUGAGGGUAGUGGGUAAAGAAGCGCCGGCUAACUACGUG